rnacentral:rRNA from 1 species
AUGGCGCUCCACCCCCUCCCGUGCUCGACACCGCCGGUUGCAUCACAGCAAUCGUCACCGCGGGCGGCAUCUCCGAGAGAAGGUACCCGUCUCAUCCCCGCCUUAUCAUCGGUUUCUUUUCUCUUCCGCGUGAAUUCCCUUUUGUUACAUACAUUGAACGAUUUGCGCGUGUGCCAAUCUUGUAACGAGUUUCCCGUCACAUAUUUCCACAACGUAAAUGGAUUUCAAAAAGAAAAAAAGAAGAAGAAGAAAAGACGCCGCGCAACAUUUCAUCCCCAUGACCUGCAUGCGUUUCUUCUUGAUGCACCGGCACGGACGGUCACCCGGGGUUUGUGA